rnacentral:rRNA from 1 species
CCUACGGGAGGCAGCAGUGGGGAAUAUUGGACAAUGGGGGAAACCCUGAUCCAGCCAUGCCGCGUGUGUGAAGAAGGUCUUAGGAUUGUAAAGCACUUUAAGUUGGGAGGAAGAGCAGUUAACUAAUAUUUGACUGUUUUGACGUUACCGACAGAAUAAGCACCGGCUAACUUCGUGCCAGCAGCCGCGGUAAUACGAAGGGUGCAAGCGUUAAUCGGAAUUACUGGGCGUAAAGCGCGCGUAGGUGGUUCAGUAAGUUAGGAGUGAAAGCCCCGGGCUUAACCUGGGAAUUGCUUCUAAAACUGCUGAGCUAGAGUACGGUAGAGGGUGGUGGAAUUUCCUGUGUAGCGGUGAAAUGCGUAGAUAUAGGAAGGAACAUCAGUGGCGAAGGCGACCACCUGGACUGAUACUGACACUGAGGUGCGAAAGCGUGGGGAGC